rnacentral:rRNA from 1 species
UACGAAGGGGGCGAGCGUUGUUCGGAUUUACUGGGCGUAAAGGGCGCGCAGGCGGCUCAUUUUGUCAGGCGUGAAAGCCCCGGGCUUAACCUGGGAACUGCGUUUGAGACGGAUGGGCUAGAGUUCGGGAGAGGAGAGUGGAAUUCCCAGGUGUAGAGUGAAAUUCGUAGAUAUUGGGAAGAACACCGGUGGCGAAGGCGGCUCUCGUGGACCGAUACUGACGCUGAGGCGCGGAAAGCGUGGGGAGCA